UGGGUUUGGAAAAAAAUUCGCAAAGAAGAAAUUUGCUUCAAAACUCUACCUUAAGACAGAAAUGCAAAUUCUGCCUCAAGACUGAGUUUUGAAGGCAAAACUUUAUCUUGUGAAUUUUUAAAAUUUUUUAACAGUGCAGGGAUUCAAAUUCGAAACCUUGAGAUUUUUAGCUAAGGGUAAGAAUUAAAGACUAUAAAUUUGAGGGAUAAAAAUUAAAGACCACCCAAAAUAAGGAAAUUCCUGCGAAUUGCCCCUAAUAUUAUGCGAUUAAAAAAGCCCACAAUUACGCCUAUUUUUCAGAGCUAUUAAUAUAGAACCCUUUAUAAAAGCCUCACAUCGCCCCUUUAUACUCCUUCAGAAAAUUAGGGUUUUCCUCCAUAGAAGGUCAGGUUUUACACCUCCCACUUCUAUUUAUCGUAAUAUUCAUGGUUGGACUCAAUGGUGUAUGCCUAGAACUACAAAGGAAUUGUUGAGUUGCUUGGACAAUGCAAGUGGCGGUUUGACACAAAACACGGUGAAUUUUUUCUUAACAGCAUUUGGUGGACGAUAUGAAAAAACAGAAAUGAAAGGUGUUUGGAAGAUAGAUGCAGCUCAUUACAAAACAUUAAGAUGAAUUGUAUUUUGUUAUUCACUUUUGGUGUAAAGAAAAGUAUUUUGAUGAAGCUGAAUCAAUCAUAGAAGUCAUAGAAUCCCUGUAAGCUGUGCAUGAUAUGGUUUUUCUUUUUCCAUCUUUUGUAACUUGUAAAUAUGUUUAACGACACUAUCUUUGUGCUGCUGAUUAAUAUAUUGUUACCUAUGUCAAAAA